AGAGAGGCGGGUUAAGGAGAGCAAUGUGAGGUUUCAGGAAGUCAGAUACAGCAUAACUAAGACUACCGGUAUCUUAGAGUGUAUUCCUAGCACACCCGCUGCAGACCAGAAUCUUCCAAACCAGCAGCCAACAAACAGCAAAUACACGGCAGAGUGCAGCUCUCUCAGCACAAAAUGGUGUGUGGACCUGGAAGACAACAGCUUUCUGCAGAGGCAUUUUCAAAUUUCCUUUCCUUUGAGGAGAGAAACUUCUGGAAACAUUAGAUAUGGCCAGACCCUGGGAAUAUGACUCCUUUUUGCCCUGCCUCUGCCACUGGAAGUCCUGCAUUAAAGGCUGCACCCUUGGAAGGCUCCAAUAGGUUUUCCCCUUCCCCCAGAUACUACCCUCCCAGUGACGGCAGAAAAACAGAGAAA
ensembl:lincRNA Gm28076 predicted gene 28076